CGAGAUCUUCGGAUCUAGCGGCGGACGGGUGAGUAACGCGUGGGAACGUGCCUCUUGCUACGGAAUAGCCCUGGGAAACUGGGAGUAAUACCGUAUGUGCCCUUCGGGGGAAAGAUUUAUCGGCAAGAGAUCGGCCCGCGUUGGAUUAGGUAGUUGGUGGGGUAAUGGCCUACCAAGCCGACGAUCCAUAGCUGGUUUGAGAGGAUGAUCAGCCACACUGGGACUGAGACACGGCCCAGACUCCUACGGGAGGCAGCAGUGGGGAAUCUUAGACAAUGGGCGCAAGCCUGAUCUAGCCAUGCCGCGUGAGCGAUGAAGGCCUUAGGGUUGUAAAGCUCUUUCAGCGAGGAAGAUAAUGACUGUACUCGCAGAAGAAGCCCCGGCUAACUCCGUGCCAGCAGCCGCGGUAAUACGGAGGGGGCUAGCGUUGUUCGGAAUUACUGGGCGUAAAGCGCACGUAGGCGGACUGGAAAGUCAGAGGUGAAAUCCCAGGGCUCAACCCUGGAACUGCCUUUGAAACUCCCAGUCUUGAGUUCGAGAGAGGUGAGUGGAAUUCCGAGUGUAGAGGUGAAAUUCGUAGAUAUUCGGAGGAACACCAGUGGCGAAGGCGGCUCACUGGCUCGAUACUGACGCUGAGGUGCGAAAGCGU
rnacentral:rRNA from 1 species